rnacentral:rRNA from 1 species
GUGCCAGCAGCCGCGGUAAGACGAACCGUGCGAACGUUAUUCGGAAUCACUGGGCUUAAAGCGCGUGUAGGCGGGAUGGUGCGUCGGCCGCUGAAAGCCCCCGGCUCAACCGGGGAAGGGGCGCCGAGACGACCGUCCUGGAGCGACGUAGGGGGGACUGGAACUUCCGGUGGAGCGGUGAAAUGCGUUGAGAUCGGAAGGAACGCCCGUGGCGAAAGCGAGUCCCUGGACGUCGGCUGACGCUGAGACGCGAAAGCCAGGGGAGCGAACGGGAUUAGAUACCCCAGUAGUCC